GACGAACGCUGGCGGCGUGCCUAAUACAUGCAAGUAGAACGCUGAAGGAGGAGCUUGCUCUUCUGGAUGAGUUGCGAACGGGUGAGUAACGCGUAGGUAACCUGCCUGGUAGCGGGGGAUAACUAUUGGAAACGAUAGCUAAUACCGCAUAAGAGUAGAUGUUGCAUGACAUUUACUUAAAAGGUGCAAUUGCAUCACUACCAGAUGGACCUGCGUUGUUUUAGCUAGUUGGUGGGGUAAAGGCUUACCAAGGCGACGAUACAUAGCCGACCUGGGAGGGUGAUCGGCCAAAAUGGGACUGAGACACGGCCCAGAGUCCUACGGGAGGCAGCAGGAGGGAAUCUUCGGCAAUGGACGGAAGUCUGACCGAGCAAAGCCGAGUGAGUGAAGAAGGGUUUCGGAUCGUAAAGCUCUGUCGUAAGAGAAGAACGAGUGUGAGAGUGGAAAGUUCACACUGUGACGGUAUCUUACCAGAAAGGGACGGCUAACUACGUG
rnacentral:rRNA from 1 species